AAACUUGGCAAUGCGAGAAAUCGUGACCAGGGAACUCCAAGUGCAUCGGGUAAGACCGGUGCUUUUCUUGACUCUAAAUAGGUCUUGGAAUAAGGGGUGGGUAAGGACGGUGCCAGCCGCCGCGGUAAUACCGGCGCCUCAAGUGGUAGUCGCUUUUAUUGGGCCUAAAACGUCCGUAGCCGGUCUGAUACAUUCGUGGGUAAAUCAACCAGCUUAACUGGUUGAAUUCUGCGAGGACGGUCAGACUUGGGACCGGGAGAGGUGUGGGGUACGCUCAGGGUAGGGGUAAAAUCCUGUCAUCCUGAGCGGACCACCUGUUGCGAAGGCGCCACACUAGAACGGAUCCGACGGUCAGGGACGAAGCCUAGGGGCACGAACCGGAUUAGAUACCCGGGUAGUCCUAGGUGUAAACGCUGUGGACUUGAUGUUGGGGGUGCUCCGAGCACUCUCAGUGUCGAAGCGAAGGUGAUAAGUCCACUGCCUGGGAAGUACGGUCGCAAGGCUGAAACUUAAAGGAAUUGGCGGGGGAGCACCGCAACCUGAGGAUUGUGCGGUUUAAUUGGAUUCAACGCCGGAAAACUCACCAUAGCCGACGGACAAAUGAAGGUCAGUGUAAUGAACUUACCGGAUUGUUCGAGAGGUAGUGCAUGGCCGCCGUCAGUUCGUACCGCAAGGCGUUCUGUUAAGUCAGAUAACGAACGAGACCCUCAUCUCUAUUUGCUAGCUGGAUCUCCGGAUUCAGUGCACUAUAGAGAGACCGCUGGCGCUAAGUCAGAGGAAGGGGAGGGCAACGGUAGGUCAGUAUGCUCCGAAUGCUAUGGGCUACACGCGCAAUACAAAGGACGGGACAAUGGG
rnacentral:rRNA from 1 species